GGAGGGCGGUAUUUAUUAGAUAACAAGCCAAUAUUCCUCUGGUCUAUUGUGGUGACUCAUAAUAACUGAUCGAAUCGCAAGGCCUAUGGCCGCGAUAAGUCAUUCAAGUUUCUGCCCCAUCAGCUUUCGAUGGUAGUGUAUUGGACUACCAUGGCGUUUACGGGUAACGGAGGAUUAGGGUUCGAUUCCGGAGAGGGAGCCUGAGAAACGGCUACCACAUCUAAGGAAGGCAGCAGGCGCGUAAAUUACCCAAUCCUGACUCAGGGAGGUAGUG
rnacentral:rRNA from 1 species